UACGGGGGGGGCAAGCGUUGUUCGGAAUUACUGGGCGUAAAGGGCUCGUAGGUGGCCAACUAAGUCAGACGUGAAAUCCCCAGGCUCAACUUGGGAACUGCGUCUGAUACUGGAUGGCUUGAAUUCGGGAGAGGGAUGCAGAAUUCCAGGUGUAGCGGUGAAAUGCGUAGAUAUCUGGAGGAAUACCGGUGGCGAAGGCGGCAUCCUGGACCGAGAUUGACACUGAUGAGCGAAAGCCAGGGGAGCAAACGGA
rnacentral:rRNA from 1 species